rnacentral:rRNA from 1 species
CCUACGGGAGGCAGCAGUGGGGAAUAUUGGACAAUGGGGGCAACCCUGAUCCAGCCAUGCCGCGUGUGUGAAGAAGGCCCUCGGGUUGUAAAGCACUUUCAGUGAGGAAGAACGCCUGGUGGUUAAUACCCAUCAGGAAAGACAUCACUCACAGAAGAAGCCCCGGCUAACUCCGUGCCAGCAGCCGCGGUAAUACGGAGGGUGCGAGCGUUAAUCGGAAUUACUGGGCGUAAAGCGCGCGUAGGUGGCUUGAUAAGCCGGGUGUGAAAGCCCCGGGCUCAACCUGGGAACGGCAUCCGGAACUGUCAAGCUAGAGUGCAGGAGAGGAAGGUAGAAUUCCCGGUGUAGCGGUGAAAUGCGUAGAGAUCGGGAGGAAUACCAGUGGCGAAGGCAGCCUUCUGGACUGACACUGACACUGAGGUGCGAAAGCGUGGGUAGCAAACAGGAUUAGAUACCCUUGUAGUC